rnacentral:tRNA from 1 species
GGGGGUGUAGCUCAGUGGUCAGAGCAGCCGGCUCAUAACCGGUUGGUCCUUGGUUCAAGUCCAAGCAUCCCCACCA